rnacentral:rRNA from 1 species
AACGAACGCUGGCGGCAUGCCUAACACAUGCAAGUCGAACGAGACCUUCGGGUCUAGUGGCGAACGGGUGCGUAACGCGUGGGAACCUGCCCUUAGGUUCGGAAUAACUCCCCGAAAGGGGUGCUAAUACCGGAUAAUGUCUUCGGACCAAAGAUUUAUCGCCUUUGGAUGGGCCCGCGUUGGAUUAGCUAGUUGGUAGGGUAAAAGCCUACCAAGGCGACGAUCCAUAGCUGGUCUGAGAGGAUGAUCAGCCACACUGGGACUGAGACACGGCCCAGACUCCUACGGAAGGCAGCAGUGGGGAAUAUUGGACAAUGGGCGAAAGCAUGAGCCAGCAAUGCCGCGUGAGUGAUGAAGGCCUUAGGGUUGUAAAGCUCUUUUACCCGGGAUGAUAAUGACAGUACCGGGAGAAUAAGCUCCGGCUAACUCCGU